CCAGACGAUCGCGUGCAUCAAGUACGAGGAAAGUCCGGGCUCCAUAGGGCAAGAAUGCCUGAUAACGUCAGGCGCAGGUAACUGUAGGGAAAGUGCAACAGAAACAUUCCGCCGAAACGGUUAGGCCGUGGUAAGGUUGAAAUGGUGAGGUAAGAGCUCACCGGCGUCAUGGAGACAUGACGGCCGUGUAAACCCCAUUCGGAGCAAGACCAAAAAGGGCAAUAUGUGUGGCUGCCCGUCACCGCCCAUAGGUAGGUCGCUUGAGUCAUUCAGCAAUGUAUGACCUAGAUGGAUGAUCGUCCAAUACAGAACCCGGCUUACAGGUUUGCCCUU
rnacentral:RNase_P_RNA from 1 species